ACGAGUAACCCGGGGAGACACCAGAACCGGGACGGGCUUUGACUGAUUUGCCUGCGAGGGUUCCGUAGGAAAGGACGCUUGAACUCGGCGCUUCGGCGGCGGCGGCGGCGCGAGUUCCCUGCUCACCCUCCCUCUCCGCGGAAGUCCCCACGAGGUGGCUUCAGGGUGUAACAGAGCGCGCGGCUCCAGUCCGAAGGCAGCGGCCGGGGGAGGGAAGGAGGGGACCGAACCCCCGAGGAGUUUCCCAGAAUCAACUUCUGGUUAGAGUUAUGGGAAGCGCGGUUAUGGACACCAAGAAGAAAAAAGAUGUUUCCAGCCCCGGCGGGAGCGGCGGCAAGAAAAAUGCCAGCCAGAAGAGGCGUUCGCUGCGCGUGCACAUUCCGCACUCUCAACGCCCUGCGAGCGCCGACGG
rnacentral:lncRNA from 1 species